rnacentral:rRNA from 1 species
GUUGUAUAGUCAAGUAAUUAAGUGCAUGUGGUGGAUGCCUUGGCAGUCAGAGGCGAUGAAAGACGUGAUAGCCUGCGAAAAGCUCCGGGAGGCGGCAAAUAUCCUUUGAUCCGGAGAUGUCUGAAUGGGGAACCCACCUACUUUAAGGUAGGUAUUGCAACAUGAAUACAUAGUGUUGCAAGGCGGAACGAGGGAAGUGAAACAUCUCAGUACCCUUAGGAAAAGAAAUCAAUUGAGAUUCCCUCAGUAGCGGCGAGCGAACGGGGAUCAGCCCAUUAAGUUAUGUGUGUUUUUUAGUGGAACGCUCUGGGAAGUGCGAAACGUAGAGGGUGAUAUUCCCCGUACACGAAAAGGGCACACAUAAUGAUGACGAGUAGGGCGAGGCACGUGAAACCUUGUCUGAAAUAUGGGGGGACCAUCCUCCAAGGCUAAAUACUCCUGACUGACCGAUAGUGAACCAGUACCGUGAGGGAAAGGCGAAAAAGAACCCCCUGUGAGGGGAGUGAAAUAGAUCCUGAAACCGCAUGCAUACAAGCAGUGGGAGCACCUUCGUGGUGUGACUGCGUACCUUUUUGUAUAAUGGGUCAGCGACUUAUAUUCAGUAGCGAGGUUAACCGUAUAGGGGAGCCGUAGAGAAAUCGAGUCUUAAUAGGGCGUUUAGUUGCUGGGUAUAGACCCGAAACCAGGCGAUCUAUCCAUGAGCAGGUUGAAGGUUGGGUAACACUAACUGGAGGACCGAACCCACUGUCGUUGAAAAGCCAGGGAUGACUUGUGGAUAGGGGUGAAAGGCUAAUCAAGCCUGGUGAUAGCUGGUUCUCCCCGAAAGCUAUUUAGGUAGCGCCUCGGACGAAUACCAUAGGGGGUAGAGCACUGUUUCGGCUAGGGGGUCAUCCCGACUUACCAAACCGAUGCAAACUCCGAAUACCUAUGAGUACUAUCCGGGAGACAGACUGCGGGUGCUAACGUCCGUAGUCAAGAGGAAAACAAUCCAGACCGCCAGCUAAGGCCCCAAAAUCAUAGUUAAGUGGGAAACGAUGUGGGAAGGCAUAGACAGCUAGGAGGUUGGCUUAGAAGCAGCCACCCUUUAAAAAAGCGUAAUAGCUCACUAGUCGAGUCGGCCUGCGCGGAAGAUGUAACGGGGCUAAAACUAUGUGCCGAAGCUGCGGAUGUAUACUUUGUAUACGUGGUAGUAGGGGAGCGUUCUGUAAGCCGAUGAAGGUGUGUUGAGAAGCAUGCUGGAGGUAUCAGAAGUGCGAAUGCUGACGUGAGUAACGACAAAACGGGUGAAAAACCCGUUCGCCGAAAGACCAAGGGUUCCAGUCCAACGUUAAUCGGGGCUGGGUGAGUCGACCCCUAAGGCGAGGCCGAAAGGCGUAGUCGAUGGGAAAAUGGUUAAUAUUCCAUUACUUCUGUGUAAUGCGAUGAGAGGACGGAGAAGGCUAAAUCAGCCUGGCGUUGGUUGUCCAGGUGAAAGGAUGUAGGCAUGUAUCUUAGGCAAAUCCGGGGUACUCUAUGCUGAGAUCUGAUAGCAAGCUGUACUUGUACAGCGAAGUGGUUGAUGCCAUGCUUCCAGGAAAAGUCUCUAAGCUUCAGUUACACAGGAAUCGUACCCGAAACCGACACAGGUGGUCAGGUCGAGUAGACCAAGGCGCUUGAGAGAACUCUGCUGAAGGAACUAGGCAAAAUGGUACCGUAACUUCGGGAGAAGGUACGCUGUUGUUGGUGAUGGAACUCGCUUCCUGAGCUGACGACAGCCGCAGAAACCAGGCCGCUGCAACUGUUUAUUAAAAACAUAGCACUCUGCAAACACGAAAGUGGACGUAUAGGGUGUGAUGCCUGCCCGGUGCUGGAAGGUUAAUUGAUGGGGUUAGCGUAAGCGAAGCUCUUGAUCGAAGCCCCAGUAAACGGCGGCCGUAACUAUAACGGUCCUAAGGUAGCGAAAUUCCUUGUCGGGUAAGUUCCGACCUGCACGAAUGGCAUAAUGAUGGCGGCGCUGUCUCCAGCAGAGGCUCAGUGAAAUCGAAAUCGCUGUGAAGAUGCAGUGUACCCGCGGCUAGACGGAAAGACCCCGUGAACCUUUACUGCAGCUUGACACUGAACUUUGACCUUACUUGUGUAGGAUAGGUGGGAGGCUUUGAAGCUGGAACGCUAGUUCCAGUGGAGCCGUCCUUGAAAUACCACCCUGGUAAUGUUUGAGGUUCUAACUCUGUCCCGUGAUCCGGGACGAGGACCGUGUCUGGUGGGUAGUUUGACUGGGGCGGUCUCCUCCUAAAGAGUAACGGAGGAGUACGAAGGUGCGCUCAGCGUGGUCGGAAAUCACGCGUAGAGUAUAAAGGCAAAAGCGCGCUUAACUGCGAGACCCCACAAGUCGAGCAGGUACGAAAAAUAGGUCUUAGUGAUCCGGUGGUUCUGUAUGGAAGGGCCAUCGCUCAACGGAUAAAAGGUACUCUGGGGAUAACAGGCUGAUACCGCCCAAGAGUUCAUAUCGACGGCGGUGUUUGGCACCUCGAUGUCGGCUCAUCUCAUCCUGGGGCUGAAGCAGGUCCCAAGGGUAUGGCUGUUCGCCAUUUAAAGAGGUACGCGAGCUGGGUUUAGAACGUCGUGAGACAGUUCGGUCCCCUAUCUACCGUGGGCGCUGGAAAUUUGAGAGGAUCUGCUCCUAGUACGAGAGGACCAGAGUGGACGAACCUCUGGUGUACCGGUUGUGACGCCAGUCGCAUCGCCGGGUAGCUAUGUUCGGAAGGGAUAACCGCUGAAAGCAUCUAAGCGGGAAGCCUACCUCAAGAUAAGAUUUCCCUAGGACUUUAUGUCCUCUAAAGAGCCGUUCGAGACUAGGACGUUGAUAGGUUGGAUGUGGAAGCAUAGUGAUAUGUGAAGCUGACCAAUACUAAUUGCUCGUGAGGCUUGACUAUACAACACCCAAGCAGUUG